rnacentral:rRNA from 1 species
GUCUACAGCCAUGUCACCCUGAACGGGCCCGAUCUUGUCUGAUCUUGGAAGCUAAGCAGGGUCGGGCCUGGUUAGUACUUGGAUGGGAGACCACCUAGAAAUACUGGGUGCUGUAGGUG